rnacentral:tRNA from 1 species
GAGGGUAUAGCUCAGUGGUAGAGUUUAUGCCUAGCAUGCAGGAGGUCCUGGGUUCAGUCCCCAGUACCUCCA